rnacentral:rRNA from 1 species
AGAGACGCUGGCGGCGUGCUUAACACAUGCAAGUCGAACGGGAGUAUUGAAGAAGCUUGCUUUAGAGAUACUUUAGUGGCGGACGGGUGAGUAACGCGUGAGGAGCUGUCCUAUGCAGGGGGACAACAGCUGGAAACGGCUGCUAAUACCCCAUAAGCCGAGAGGUAAAAGGAUCAAUCCGGCAGAGGAGGUACUCGCGUCCUAUCAGCUAGUAGGUGAGGUAACAGCUCACCUAGGCGAAGACGGGUAGCCGGCCUGAGAGGGCGAACGGCCACACUGGAACUGAGAUACGGUCCAGACUCCUACGGGAGGCAGCAGUGGGGAAUAUUGGGCAAUGGGGGAAACCCUGACCCAGCGACGCCGCGUGGGUGAAGAAAUCCUUCGGGAUGUAAAGCCCUGUUGUAUGGGAAGAGCGGAAGACGGUACCAUACGAGGAAGCCCCGGCAAACUACGUG